rnacentral:rRNA from 1 species
UGGGGAAUCUUCCGCAAUGGGCGAAAGCCUGACGGAGCAACGCCGCGUGAGUGAAGAAGGCCUUCGGGUCGUAAAACUCUGUCUUCAGGGAAGAAAAAAAUGACGGUACCUGAGGAGGAAGCCCCGGCUAACUACGUGCCAGCAGCCGCGGUAAAACGUAGGGGGCGAGCGUUGUCCGGAAUUACUGGGCGUAAAGGGCGCGUAGGCGGUCAUUUAAGUCAGAGGUGAAAACUACCGGCUCAACCGGUAGCCUGCCUUUGAAACUGGAUGACUUGAGGGCAGGAGAGGGGAGUGGAAUUCCCAGUGUAGCGGUGAAGUGCGUAGAUAUUGGGAGGAACACCAGUGGCGAAGGCGGCUCUCUGGCCUGUUUCUGACGCUGAGGCGCGAAAGCGUGGGGAGCGAACGG